rnacentral:rRNA from 1 species
GGUUAAGCGAAUAAGCGUACACGGUGGAUGCCUAGGCAAUCAGAGGCGAUGAAGGACGUGCUAAUCUGCGAAAAGCGUCGGUAAGGUGAUAUGAACCGUUAUACCCGACGAUAUCCGAAUGGGGAAACCCAGUAUCCAAUGGAUACUAUCAUUAACUGAAUCCAUAGGUUAAUGAGGCGAACCGGGAGAACUGAAACAUCUCAGUACCCCGAGGAAAAGAAAUCAACCGAGAUUCCCCUAGUAGCGGCGAGCGAACGGGGAGCAGCCCAGAGUCUUAAUCAAUAGCAGUGUCAGGAGAACGGUCUGGAAAGUCCGGCAGUAAAGGGUGAUAGCCCCGUAUCUGAAGAUGCUGUUAUUGUGAACUCGACGAGUAGGGCGGGACACGUGUUAUCCUGUCUGAAUAUGGGGGGACCAUCCUCCAAGGCUAAAUACUCCUGAUUGACCGAUAGUGAACCAGUACCGUGAGGGAAAGGCGAAAAGAACCCCGGCGAGGGGAGUGAAAAAGAACCUGAAACCGUGUACGUACAAGCAGUAGGAGCCUCUUUAUGGGGUGACUGCGUACCUUUUGUAUAAUGGGUCAGCGACUUAUAUUCUGUAGCAAGGUUAACCGUAUAGGGGAGCCGUAGGGAAACCGAGUCUUAACUGGGCGAAUGAGUUGCAGGGUAUAGACCCGAAACCCGGUGAUCUAUCCAUGGGCAGGUUGAAGGUUGGGUAACACUAACUGGAGGACCGAACCGACUAAUGUUGAAAAAUUAGCGGAUGACUUGUGGAUGGGGGUGAAAGGCCAAUCAAACCGGGAGAUAGCUGGUUCUCCCCGAAAGCUAUUUAGGUAGCGCCUCGUGAACUCAUCUUCGGGGGUAGAGCACUGUUUCGACUAGGGGGUCAUCCCGACUUACCAACUCGAUGCAAACUGCGAAUACCGAAGAAUGUUAUCACGGGAGACACACGGCGGGUGCUAACGUCCGUCGUGAAGAGGGAAACAACCCAGACCGCCAGCUAAGGUCCCAAAGUCAUGGUUAAGUGGGAAACGAAGUGGGAAGGCUCAGACAGCCAGGAUGUUGGCUUAGAAGCAGCCAUCAUUUAAAGAAAGCGUAAUAGCUCACUGGUCGAGUCGGCCCGCGCGGAAGAUGUAACGGGGCUAAACCAUGCACCGAAGCUGCGGCAGCGACACAAAGUGUUGUUGGGUAGGGGAGCGUUCUGUAAGCCUGCGAAGGUGUACUGUGAGGUAUGCUGGAGGUAUCAGAAGUGCGAAUGCUGACAUAAGUAACGAUAAUGCGGGUGAAAAACCCGCACGCCGGAAGACCAAGGGUUCCUGUCCAACGUUAAUCGGGGCAGGGUGAGUCGACCCCUAAGGCGAGGCUGAAAAGCGUAGUCGAUGGGAAACGGGUUAAUAUUCCCGUACUGGUGGUAACUGCGAUGGGGGAACGGAGAAGGCUAGGUUGUCCGGGCGACGGUCGUCCCGGUUCAAGCAGGUAGGCAGAGUGAUUAGGCAAAUCCGGUCACUUAAUGCUGAGAUGUGAUGACGAACCACCAAGGUGGUGAAGCAAUUGAUGCCCCGCUUCCAGGAAAAGCCUCUAAGCUUCAGGUUACCAACAAUCGUACCCCAAACCGACACAGGUGGUCAGGUAGAGAAUACUCAGGCGCUUGAGAGAACUCGGGUGAAGGAACUAGGCAAAAUGGUGCCGUAACUUCGGGAGAAGGCACGCUGGCGGUAGGUAAAGUCCCUCGCGGACGGCGCCCAAGCCAGUCGAAGAUACCAGCUGGCUGCAACUGUUUAUUAAAAACACAGCACUGUGCAAACACGAAAGUGGACGUAUACGGUGUGACGCCUGCCCGGUGCUGGAAGGUUAAUUGAUGGGGUCAGCCGUAAGGCGAAGCUCCUGAUCGAAGCCCCAGUAAACGGCGGCCGUAACUAUAACGGUCCUAAGGUAGCGAAAUUCCUUGUCGGGUAAGUUCCGACCUGCACGAAUGGCGUAAUGAUGGCCAGGCUGUCUCCACCCGAGACUCAGUGAAAUUGAACUCGCUGUGAAGAUGCAGUGUACCCGCGGCAAGACGGAAAGACCCCGUGAACCUUUACUAUAGCUUGACACUGAACAUUGAGCCUUGAUGUGUAGGAUAGGUGGGAGGCUUUGAAGUGUGGACGCCAGUCUGCAUGGAGCCAACCUUGAAAUACCACCCUUUAACGUUUGAUGUUCUAACCUAGGCCCAUAAACUGGGUCGGGGACCGUGUCUGGUGGGUAGUUUGACUGGGGCGGUCUCCUCCUAAAGAGUAACGGAGGAGCACGAAGGUUGGCUAAGCAUGGUCGGACAUCAUGCGGUUAGUGCAAAGGCAUAAGCCAGCUUGACUGCGAGAGUGACGGCUCGAGCAGGUACGAAAGUAGGUCUUAGUGAUCCGGUGGUUCUGAAUGGAAGGGCCAUCGCUCAACGGAUAAAAGGUACUCCGGGGAUAACAGGCUGAUACCGCCCAAGAGUUCAUAUCGACGGCGGUGUUUGGCACCUCGAUGUCGGCUCAUCACAUCCUGGGGCUGAAGUAGGUCCCAAGGGUAUGGCUGUUCGCCAUUUAAAGUGGUACGCGAGCUGGGUUUAGAACGUCGUGAGACAGUUCGGUCCCUAUCUGCCGUGGGCGUUGGAAGAUUGAGAGGGGUUGCUCCUAGUACGAGAGGACCGGAGUGAACGCACCACUGGUGUUCGGGUUGUCAUGCCAAUGGCAUUGCCCGGUAGCUAAGUGCGGAAGAGAUAACCGCUGAAAGCAUCUAAGCGGGAAACUUGCCUCGAGAUGAGUCUUCCCUGUCACUUUAAGUGACCUAAAGGAACGUUUAAGACUAAGACGUUGAUAGGCUGGGUGUGUAAGCGUAGCGAUACGUUGAGCUAACCAGUACUAAUGAACCGUGAGGCUUAACCUG